rnacentral:rRNA from 1 species
GACGAACCGUGCGAACGUUGUUCGGAAUCACUGGGCUUAAAGGGCGCGUAGGCGGCUUCGCAAGUCCGGGGUGAAAGCCCCCAGCUUAACUGGGGAAGUGCCUCGGAUACUGCGGAGCUUGAGGGAGGUAGGGGCGGAUGGAACUUCCGGUGGAGCGGUGAAAUGCGUUGAUAUCGGAAGGAACGCCGGUGGCGAAAGCGAUCCGCUGGCCCUCUACUGACGCUGAGGCGCGAAAGCCAGGGGAGCAAACGGG